rnacentral:rRNA from 1 species
UACGGAGGGUGCAAGCGUUAUCCGGAUUCACUGGGUUUAAAGGGUGCGUAGGAGGGCAGGUAAGUCAGUGGUGAAAUCUCCAAGCUUAACUUGGAACUGCCGUUGAUACUAUCUGUCUUGAAUACCGUGGAGGUGAGCGGAAUAUGUCAUGUAGGCGGAUGAAAUGCUUAGAUAUGAACAUAGAACACCAAUUGCGAAGGCAGCUC